rnacentral:rRNA from 1 species
CCUGAACGCUGGCGGCGUGGCUAAGACAUGCAAGUCGUACGGGUGUAGCAAUACACCAGUGGCGGACGGGUGAGUAGUGUAUCGCUAACGUACCCCGGAUUCUGGGAUAGCUGCCCGAAAGGGCAGGUAAUACCAGAUGAUAUAUCCUUGUCGCAUGGCGAGGAUCUCAAAGGGAAACCGUUCUGGGAGCGGGCGAUAUCGUAUCAGCUAGUUGGUAGGGUAACGGCCUACCAAGGCGACGACGCGUAGCCGGACUGAGAGGUUGGCCGG